GAGUGCAAUCAUACUGGCACUAAUGCCUCGGAUCCCAUCAAAAUUCUGUAGUUAAGCGUGCUUGGGCGAGAGUAGUACUAGGAUGGGUGUCCUCCUAGGAAAUCCUCGUAUUGCACCCC
rfam:Beta vulgaris subsp. vulgaris 0533.scaffold01098.con0003.1, whole genome shotgun sequence.